UACAGGGGGUGCAAACGUUGCUCGGAAUUAUUGGGCGUAAAGCGCGCGUAGGCGGCUACUUAAGUCGGAUGUGAAAGCCCCUGGCUCAACUGGGGAAGUGCACCCGAAACUGAGUAGCUAGAGUACGAAAGAGGGUCGCGGAAUUCCCGGUGUAGAGGUGAAAUUCGUAGAUAUCGGGAGGAACACCGGUGGCGAAGGCGGCGACCUGGGUCGAUACUGACACUGAGGCGCGACAGCGUGGGGAGCAAACAGG
rnacentral:rRNA from 1 species